CGAGCGAGCGGAACUAACAGAUUUACUUCGGUAAUGACGUUAGGAAAGCGAGCGGCGGAUGGGUGAGUAACACGUGGGGAACCUGCCCCAUAGUCUGGGAUACCACUUGGAAACAGGUGCUAAUACCGGAUAAGAAAGCAGAUCGCAUGAUCAGCUUUUAAAAGGCGGCGUAAGCUGUCGCUAUGGGAUGGCCCCGCGGUGCAUUAGCUAGUUGGUAAGGUAAAGGCUUACCAAGGCGAUGAUGCAUAGCCGAGUUGAGAGACUGAUCGGCCACAUUGGGACUGAGACACGGCCCAAACUCCUACGGGAGGCAGCAGUAGGGAAUCUUCCACAAUGGACGCAAGUCUGAUGGAGCAACGCCGCGUGAGUGAAGAAGGUUUUCGGAUCGUAAAGCUCUGUUGUUGGUGAAGAAGGAUAGAGGUAGUAACUGGCCUUUAUUUGACGGUAAUCAACCAGAAAGUCACGGCUAACUACGUGCCAGCAGCCGCGGUAAUACGUAGGUGGCAAGCGUUGUCCGGAUUUAUUGGGCGUAAAGCGAGCGCAGGCGGAAGAAUAAGUCUGAUGUGAAAGCCCUCGGCUUAACCGAGGAACUGCAUCGGAAACUGUUUUUCUUGAGUGCAGAAGAGGAGAGUGGAACUCCAUGUGUAGCGGUGGAAUGCGUAGAUAUAUGGAAGAACACCAGUGGCGAAGGCGGCUCUCUGGUCUGCAACUGACGCUG
rnacentral:rRNA from 1 species